rnacentral:rRNA from 1 species
ACUCCUACGGGAGGCAGCAGUAGGGAAUCUUCCACAAUGGGCGCAAGCCUGAUGGAGCAACACCGCGUGAGUGAAGAAGGGUUUCGGCUCGUAAAGCUCUGUUGUUAAAGAAGAACACGUAUGAGAGUAACUGUUCAUACGUUGACGGUAUUUAACCAGAAAGUCACGGCUAACUACGUGCCAGCGGCCGCGGUAAUACGUAGGUGGCAAGCGUUAUCCGGAUUUAUUGGGGCGUAAAGAGAGUGCAGGCGGUUUUCUAAGUCUGAUGUGAAAGCCUUCGGCUUAACCGGAGAAGUGCAUCGGAAACUGGAUAACUUGAGUGCAGAAGAGGGUAGUGGAACUCCAUGUGUAGCGGUGGAAUGCGUAGAUAUAUGGAAGAACACCAGUGGCGAAGGCGGCUACCUGGUCUGCAACUGACGCUGAGACUCGAAAGCAUGGGUAGCGAACAGGAUUAGAUACCCUGGUAGGAUAGCG